rnacentral:rRNA from 1 species
CCAACCCGACAAGGGAGGCAGGUCCCCAAGGAGUGACGUCGGUAACUGGGGUG